UUAACGUCUUUGCCGUUGAAUUUAUGUGUGCUGUAUGUCUGUAUGUGAGAACAACCGCGAAGUUAUCGAUUGAUCAUUGAACAUAGUUUUGCGAAAUAGCGAAGUGGGAAGGCGUUUCAGUACAUCUGUGUUUCGGUAGUGAGGUUUCGUGCCGCAUAUCUGCAACUUGAAAGCUCAAGCUUGUUUCUCGAUUCUGUUACUACACGUUCGUCAUGAGCGCCAUCGGUGGUAAUGAUGAAAUGGUAACGAAUAGACUGAAAGCCUUAACAGAUAAGCUUGAAGAAAUGGAUGCAAAUUUAUUGAGAGUUAAGAGGGAAUAUAAAGAAUUUCUGGAACUUAACAGGACUGUUUGCAGUUAUAUUCAAGCCUCCAUCAGAAGUGUCAGCUACGAUGAAGAAAAUCCUGACACACGUAGUGCUGGGAGUCAGCUACGAUGAAGAAAAUCCUGACACACGAAACGCUGGAAGUUAGUAAAACAGAAUUUUGGUGCAUUUCGUUGAUAUUAUCAGUUCUGAAUUUGUGCACACUCAGCGGCAAGCAGUGUAUCGAGUAAUUGCUCCUACAUCAGGUGCUUUAUUUGGGAUGUCGUUUUAUUUAUGAAAUGACAUUACGGUUAACAAUGUGGUGAUAAUGCAAUUUCUGUAGUAUAUAAGUAAUUCCAGACCUUGUUGUCUUUCAUGGGUAAUCGAAAAGUAGAUUGUGACUGCGUCAUAUAGCGUGCACGAAAAUGUUUCCAUGUUUGUUCCAGUGCAGCCUGAUGAAGACAGUUCCAUACGUAGAGAAGCAUAAUUGCAGUUACUAUAUGUUAAUGGAUGUAAGAGGUGAAAUAUCCACAACAUGUAUGAUGGUCUCUGUACUUUAACUUGGCUUUGAUAUGAGGCUGUUAAAGUAGACCUAGCUUACAAGCUGAUAGAUCUUGCACAUAUACUUACUCAAAUUUCAUUGGGCAUACUUGUUAAUAUGCAGCUUACUGCUUUUAGUGAGUUUGAGUAUAUGUGAUUUUUAUUUUGAAGUUGUCUGCUUCGCUUUAUAAUAGUGUCAAGAAUUUGCAUGUAAUGAGACAAAUAAAAAAUAUAUAGACACAAUUGUUUGUUGCACAAUGUUGACUUUUUUUCACAUUAUUCCUUCACAGAGAAACCAAAACGUGUCUAAAAUGAUGUUCUGAUAAUAGAAUAACCAAAGAAAUGGAAAAAAUGGCGUUUCAUGUGAUGAAUAUGUGCCUUAGGAUAAUCUUACUGUCAAGUGAAUUUGCUCUUAGAUUUGAUGCAUCUUGUGGAAAACAAAUUUUUCUUCUUUUAUCUGGACCUGGGUCUCUGAAGUAGCAGCACAAGUGUUUAUUUUAUUUUUAUUUUUUCACAUGCUGUGGGUUUGUGUUUUGCAAACAGUUGUGAUUUUUUUUUUCCAGUUUCAUUUGUGCUUGUUAAAAGUUUCACUUUAAAAGUUGCACUUUAAAAGUUGCAGUUUUUCAUGAUAAAGAGUAUGAGGAAACAAAAAAAGACAAACUGUGUAGGAAAAAUGUAGAGAACCAUAGCAUGUGGUAACAAGAAAGGAAAUAAACUGAUGCUGUAACUCCAUUGGAUUAAUUGUCUGGUAUAAUGAAGUACUGUAUCAGUUACAUCACUUUCAUUAUGACAAUUUCAGAACCUCCUAAAAUCCUGGUGCCUGGAAAGUAGAUACUGGAAAGUUCAUUUGUGUAUGUAUGUAUAGUUUUAAGAGUGUAUUGGAUAAGUUGACGAAAUCAAAUAUGUACUGUUGUGGAAAUGAACAUAAUACAUUCACUUUGAGAGAGUAUCGGAAUAUUUAGACUUAGGUAUGUAAAUUUCACUGACUCUGCUUGCGUUAAACAGACCUUGACUGUGCUAGUGUGUACACCAUUGGUCAUUCAAAACUGUGACACCAGAUAUGGUAUCAAAUAAUGAAACAUUAGUUGUAUGUAUGCUGUGUAGCAGGAACAAUACUGAGUGAUUAAUUUCUUAGAUACCCAAAGCGGAAGGGAUAAUUAUGUGCUCAGUGGCACAACAUGUCGUCACGUCAGGUACUGGGUUUGAAAUGAGGAUGCAGUCAGGCAGCAUUUUCCCAUGGAGUUUCCUGUCAUGGACACGACCAUUGUGCUGCUGUACAUAGGGACGGAACUUGCCUGAAAAAAUGACAUGGUGUGCAGUGUUGUCAUUGCUUGCCUCUCUGCUGCUAUGUUGAGAGUAUGUAAUCAACACUUCCAUGGAAGAACAUUUUCUUCCUCACUGCAGUCAACACAAUGUAACUGCACUCUUCAAUUUUCACAAGGCACUCCUAGUUAAACAAUGUUAAGUCACUGUUCAUGUAUGGUUGAUCACCUUUAUAAAACCUAGUUAGACACAAUUAAAUGAAAACAAAUGAGCAAAUUUGCUUCUGUUUGUUUCGUAUAGAAUUAUACCAAGAAUUAAAGUAAUUGGUAUGAUGGAAAUAACAUACAUUCUGUUUUUGUUCUAUAUUGACACUUGUCAUUACAGUACCUACCCUGAAUUUAAGUGGCAAAAUAUGCUUAAAAUUAAGUUCUUAUCUUUUGUUUGCUUAAAUCUCAUAAGUGAAAAUUGAAAUUCACCUUGAUGUCAUGCCAGGUAGUUCAUUUUCAUUGACAAAUAAGAGAUGGCUUCAGAAGGGUUCUUAGUCGUGAAGCAGUAUGCAGUAAAAUAUUUGGAUGUGGAAGAGUUCAUUUAUGGUAUCGCCUCUGUUAGGCUGUCUGAUAAUAGGUAUGAUAGUUCAGUCAGAGGGUAUUGAAAGGUUCUCCAGUGCUGCUGAUAAGAUAAUCUGUAAAAUCCAGAUGUUUCCCAGUGGUUAUAUGUGCUAUUUCCUAUGUACUAUUUGCAGAAUUGGACAUUGGUCACAACUUGCAAAAUUUAUGUAUUGUGCAAUGCACUAAAAGAAAAGCCAAUUUCUUAUAGGCCUGUAAUUCAAUACCCAUUCACAGUAGAUAGCUUUCAGCAGAUUCCAUCAUUUGAGAUCCACACUGCUGACAUUCUAUUGUGAGAGCUGUCUUUUCAGCAGAUCGGGAGGCAACAGUGUUACAUAGAGCAUCUUUAUGCGUUACUGGAAUGCUAUGUCAUGGAUACCAUCAGUGUAAUUUGAAUCUAUUACCUGAACAUGUUGACAGUGCAACUCCUUUUUGUGUGCGUGUGUUCACAAAUUGGACAUAACAGUACUUUUAGUUUCUUAUGUGUUGUACUGUGGUGUUGCCAGUUAAGUUUUUGCUACUCAUGACACGUUUAGUGCAAGCUAGUCAGUAAGUUUCUUUGGAAAAGCCUGGAUAUGUUGCAGAAUGUCUUAGCUGCAAUGUAGGGAGUUUUUCAGAAUAAACCUUUUAGUUAACAGUAGUGUAUAUGGUGAAAUGAAACUGACAUGUUAGACUUUUGUUACACAUUAGAAGUUAAAUCUGACAACUAUUAUGGAUGAUGCUAAAUAGGUCAGUGUUCCAUAAGACUGGAGAAUAGCAUAGAUGAUAACAGAUUUGCAUAAAUCUUUCACAAUGGGUUUGCAGCAUAUAAACCACAUUGAUAACAUUUUGUUGUAGAAAAAUUACACAACACCUUGUACCUGAUGUUUCUAGAGUCUCCCCAUUUUUUAUUUGUGUACCAAUGUACUUCUGCAGACUAUUGCAGUGAAACACUUGACUGUUCUUGUUUCUUCAUAAAAUCGAGAAUGAUGUAGAUACAGCUGUCUUUGUUGACUUUGGCUAAGUCUUUGCAUCAUUUCAGCGCUGCCAGUCGAUUACAAAAUAUUCGCUUACAGGAUGCUGAACUAAGUACGUAAGCAUCAGAAAGAAAUUGUCGUCGACAGAGGAGAUAGGCUACGUCCACGAAGAGUAAUUGGACUGAUGCUAUUUAAAGUAGUAGAUACUGUGUAAAUAACUCUAGUAUCAUUGUGCCUUGACUGUCGUGCAGAGGGAUGACAUUAACAGUAAUGUAUUGUAAAAUGGUCUCUGUAUUUGUAGAUUAAAGAAGCGAGCUAUUUAUUUUCAUU